GUGGUGUGAACAGCGGUAUCACAUUACACAUCUAAAGUGGGCUUCAAUAGGCUACCAGUCAUUAGAAGGUGCUGAGCUACAACACGGCUAACACCAGCCCUACAAUAACCGCUGUGGUUAUGACUUUUCAGCGGUGGUUACCACAGCACUGCUGCAGAGUUAGACUAGCUCGAGCACUUUGGAGUGAAUUAAUGCCGACUUGUAACCAUUAGUGCUUUCCCUCACAAAUCUGUGGACCUGAAUAGUUAUUUGUGAGUGGUUAAUUUGAAGCAGACUUGUGACACGUGUCAUCUGAAAAAUUGCCUGUAACGUGAUGUAAGGUUUGAAUUUGACAAAAGUCCCCUGAAAACAUUCAACUUUAGAAUGAAACAUUUAUUUGCUACUGACUACAAUCUGCAAUUUAAUAUUUGAAUCUUCUCUGUUUCGUUUAAAUGUGUUUUUGCGCUUGUGACUGAAGAGUUUUUGUAUAUUCCUGCUGUCACUCAGGUGACUGUCUAUAUAUUUCUCUGUGUGAUGCAGGCUUUCAUUCCUCCUAUUCAUUUUUUUUUCUUUUUUUUAAUCAGCCAACAUCUGGUUUUAAUUAAGGGGCCAUAUGGAAGCCCCCAACUCAUGCACUCCUCCUCCACAGAAGAUGGAAAGUUACGCAUAUGUGCAGUCACAUUUAUACCUGAGAGGUGAAAGACUGUGAGUGAUGAACACUGUGACAGACAGAUCCAGACAGCGAGAAGAGAGAUGUUUUGGGGGAAGCGUUUCCUUAAUUUGGAUUAAGACUGCUCAGGCACAGGAAUACGAAUCGCUGAAGUUGAAUUUUUGAUGAUACAGUAAUCAAUAUGAAUGAAAAAAGACUUCAGAACGUGAUACUGUAUGUAAAUUGCUGUUGUCGACGCUCUUUAAAGUCUAGCUUUUGCGCGUCAUGCCUUCAUCCAGUGAAGCCAUGCUGUUGGUUUGAAUUGCUGGCAAGCAACAAAGUAACAUAUAAAGCUUCUCAUUUGAAACCGUCGGUUAUUAAGUUACUUUUCAAACAAGCAAUCUGCAAAGAAUACUUCACACAACAGCAACCGCAGGAUUUUAGCCCUCCUACAGCUAUCACUCUGAGUGAAUCUGAUGAGCUUGUUGCUGGGCAAAUGGUGGAGGAGAAACCCUGAGUAUUACUG
ensembl:lncRNA